rnacentral:lncRNA from 1 species
UUAGAGUGAUGCAUCAAAGACAUAAUAUUAACCAGCUACAUGUAGAUUGAAGGGGCGUAUCCCAUAUUCAUUUAUGCAUAAAAGAUCUUAAUUAAUUCAAAAUGGAUCGAAACGAACCGAAUUAAUCUAAAGCGGAUCGAGUUGACUGAAUGUACAUCCUAAUUCAAUCUCCUUCACUAGUGGUCGAUUUGCAUUAAUAUAGUGGCACCCGUAGCUAUCAUAUUCGGAAUCCGCCUCUGUUUGACAGCCUUCAUCAAGUAUUAGACAAGGAUUCAGUGUGUGUAAUCUCCAAAAAGAAAAAAAGAAAAAGUAUUCAUGUUUAAUCUUCAAUUAUAAUUGCAGAACCGACACACCUUUGAAAAGCCUGUCAAGAUAUACAACUGAAAGGUCUUGUAAUUCACUGCCCGUGCAAUGGAGCUAGCGAAUGACCCUCUCAUUAUAGAAGGGACACAUAAAAGUUUUGAGAUCUGUGGAAGGCAGAGAAGUGGCAUCAAGUUCAUUCAGUUACAUAAAGGGUACUUGCCGCCGCUGUUUUCUCAAGGUGAUUUCUUCAGUUUAGGCUAUUAUUCUUCCUUUGAUUUGGUUGGGGAAGCGAAUGUUGUACUCGCUCCUUUCUUUGUGGUUAGGAUGUGGCUUUAGUUAUCGUCGUCAAUCUUCAGAGUUAUUGCUCUAUUCAGGGCUGCCCCCCCNCCC